AUUGAACGCUGGCGGCAGGCUUAACACAUGCAAGUCGGGCGAGUGGCGGACGGGUGAGUAAUGAAUGGGGAUCUGCCUGAUGGAGGGGGGUAACUACUGGAAACGGUAGCUAAUACCGCAUACCAGAAGAUGAACACAAAUGGGAUUAGAUUGUAGGUGAGGUAACGGCUCACCUAGGCGACGAUACAUCGCUGGUCUGAGAGGAUGAUCAGCCACACUGGGACGGGGACACGGCCCGGACUCCUACGGGAGGCAGCAGUGGGGAAUAUUGCACAAUGGGCGCAAUCCUGAUGCAGCCAUGCCGCGUGUAUGAAGAAGGCCUUCGGGUUGUAAAGUACUUUCAGUCGGUAGGCGUUACCGACAGAAGAAGCACCGGCUAACUCCGUGCCAGCAGCCGCGGUAAUUC
rnacentral:rRNA from 1 species